GUGGAGCAUGUGGCUUAAUUUGACCCAACGCGGGAAAUCUUACCGGGUCCGGACACACUGAGGAUUGACAGGUAACAUCACACGUAUUCGUACGUGUGUAUAAAUAUGCUAGUCCUUUCAUGAUUAUGUGAUAGGUGGUGCAUGGCCGUUCUUAGUUCGUGGAGUGAUCUGUCUGCUUAAUUGCGUUUCACUAUUGGAUCUAUAUACCGUGCAUGUGUUGCGGCAUUGACCCCUCAAUACUCUCACGUAUUGAGUGCGCGUCUUUCGCUUAGCUCACUGCGCUUUAGAUCCUGAAAGCAACGAACGUGACCG
rnacentral:rRNA from 1 species